rnacentral:rRNA from 1 species
CAGUCGCCGCGGUAAUACGAAGGGUGCAAGCGUUAAUCGGAAUUACUGGGCGUAAAGCGUGCGUAGGCGGUUUGUUAAGUCUGCUGUGAAAUCCCCGGGCUCAACCUGGGAAUGGCAGUGGAUACUGGCAAGCUAGAGUGUGUCAGAGGAUGGUGGAAUUCCCGGUGUAGCGGUGAAAUGCGUAGAGAUCGGGAGGAACAUCAGUGGCGAAGGCGGCCAUCUGGGACAACACUGACGCUGAGGCACGAAAGCGUGGGGAGCAAACAGGAUUAGAUACCCCCGUAGUCCCUGUCUCUUAUAA